GUCUGAUUCCUAAUCAAUGCCAAUAGACAUAAAUACAACUCAUGUGAAGAAUUUAGCACCUAGCUGAAAUUGGCAUAUUCACAUUUCAAAUGACAAGUUUAUCUAGACUGCACAAAUUCCUUAAACACCCAUAGUGAACUAACACUUACAGUUAUACUGUCAGAUACAAAUAAACAGGUAUAGCUAGCAUGAGGCAAACAGUACCAUUUCAUUCACCACUCAAUGCUUUUCUUCACAUUGAUUGAUGAACUUUGCAUCUGUUACUGCUAUUUUUUUUAAUGUGUUUCCAUGGAAAAAGACCACAAAAGUUUGAUUCAAAUGGGCAAGUAUUUCAUUUAGAAUCUUAAUCUACAAUUUAGAUGGCCUUGCACAGUGCAUGAUCCA
rnacentral:misc_RNA from 1 species